rnacentral:rRNA from 1 species
CGUGGGGAAACUCACGCUAAUACCGCAUACGCCCUACGGGGGAAAGCGGGGGAUCUUCGGACCUCGCGCUAUGAGAUGAGCCUGCGUUAGAUUAGCUAGUUGGUAGGGUAAAGGCCUACCAAGGCGACGAUCUAUAGCUGGUCUGAGAGGACGAUCAGCCACACUGGGACUGAGACACGGCCCAGACUCCUACGGGAGGCAGCAGUGGGGAAUAUUGGACAAUGGGCGCAAGCCUGAUCCAGCAAUACCGCGUGUGUGGAGAAGGCCCUAGGGUUGUAAAGCACUUUCAAUUGGGAGGAAAACCUGCCGGUCAAUACCCGGCAGCUUGACAUUACCUUUAGAAGAAGCACCGGCUAACUCCGUG